CCUACGGGAGGCAGCAGUGGGGAAUAUUGCACAAUGGGGGAAACCCUGAUGCAGCAACGCCGCGUGAGCGAAGAAGGCCUUCGGGUCGUAAAGCUCUGUCCUAAGGGAAGAAGGAUGACGGUACCUUAGGAGGAAGCCCCGGCUAACUACGUGCCAGCAGCCGCGGUAAUACGUAGGGGGCGAGCGUUAUCCGGAAUCACUGGGCGUAAAGGGUGCGUAGGCGGCCGAUAAAGUCGGGGGUGAAAGGGGACGGCUCAACCGUAGUAAGCCUUGGAAUGUUGUUGGCUUGAGUGCAGGAGGGGAGGGCGGUAGUCCUGGUGUAGCGGUGAGAUGCGUAGAUAUCAGGAGGAACACCAGUGGCGAAGGUGGCUCGCUGGAGUGUAACUGACGCUGAGGCACGAAAGCGUGGGGAGCAAACAGGGGUAGAUACGCUGGUAGUC
rnacentral:rRNA from 1 species